GGUUCGGGCGCGGUCCUUCGGGAGGGACCGCAUGAAUGGAACCUCCCCCCUGAUCGCAUUCGGCGUGCGCCUGAGCCCCGGCAGGCGGCGCG
rfam:Rhodobacteraceae bacterium GWF1_65_7 gwf1_scaffold_988, whole genome shotgun sequence.